rnacentral:rRNA from 1 species
AUUGAACGCUAGCGGGAUGCUUUACACAUGCAAGUCGAACUAGUGGCGGACGGGUGAGUACUAUAUCGGAACGUGCCCAGUAGCGGGGCAUAUCUUCUCUAAAGAUUUGCUAAUACCGCAUACUAUUGCAUCGGCCGUUAUGGGAUUAGCUAGUUGGUGGGGUAAAUGCUCACUAAGGCAACGAUCCGUAGCUGGUUUGAGAGGACGACCAGCCACACUGGGACUGUGACACGGCCCAGACUCCUACGGAAAGCAGCAGUGGGGAAUUUUGGACAAUGGGGGAAAACCUGAUCCAGCCAUACCGCGUGUAUGAGAAGGCCUUCGGGUUGUAAAGUACUGUUGGCAGAGAAGCGGUAUCUGCAGAAUAAGCACCGGCUAACUACGUGCCAGCAGCCGCGGUAAUAC